CUUUAUAUACAAUUUUGCCAGUACAAUUUUUUUAAAUAAGCUUUCCUGUAGCCUAGAUGGCAGGAAACAGUUGGGGAAGAAUCAAUAAGCUUUGAGAGAGGGAAUGCUUUUUGCUUCUGCCAGCGCCUAGUGGCAAUAUAGAGCCUCUCUAGGAAGUAACAUACUUUCCUGUCCUUUUAGCUUUAGAGCCGCUGCAGUGUGUGUGUUGUGACUCUCUCUCUCUCCCUAUGCAGCAUUUCACGAUUUAACACUCCUACAAAAGGAAACGGCAUACGUAAAAGAAAACCAGGGACACUAUCUGAAAUAUGCAACCUCUUCCUUCCAUAUUGAAGAUCCAACUACAGCAAAUACCAGAUGACAUAUUGCCAUAAUGGAGCUGGCAAAAUCCUCAUAUCCUCAAGUACUACAAGAGUGUACUUCUGAAUCUAAAAGCAUAUCAUGGUGAUGAAAUAAUCCCGGAGAGUAAGGAGAGCCAUGGAUAGCUGAAAUCUGCAGUCUUGGAUCUUUUUAAGCAUUAUUAAGGCUCUUUUUUUUUAAG